UACGUAGGGUCCGAGCGUUGUCCGGAAUUAUUGGGCGUAAAGGGCUCGUAGGCGGUUUGUCGCGUCGGGAGUGAAAACACGGGGCUUAACCCCGUGCCUGCUUCCGAUACGGGCAGACUAGAGUGUGGUAGGGGAGACUGGAAUUCCUGGUGUAGCGGUGAAAUGCGCAGAUAUCAGGAGGAACACCGAUGGCGAAGGCAGGUCUCUGGGCCAUAACUGACGCUGAGAAGCGAAAGCAUGGGGAGCGAACAGG
rnacentral:rRNA from 1 species